GACGAACGCUGGCGGCGUGCCUAAUACAUGCAAGUUGAGCGAUGAAGAUUGGUGCUUGCACCAAUUUGAAGAGCAGCGAACGGGUGAGUAACGCGUGGGGAAUCUGCCUUUGAGCGGGGGACAACAUUUGGAAACGAAUGCUAAUACCGCAUAACAACUUUAAACAUAAGUUUUAAGUUUGAAAGAUGCAAUUGCAUCACUCAAAGAUGAUCCCGCGUUGUAUUAGCUAGUUGGUGAGGUAAAGGCUCACCAAGGCGAUGAUACAUAGCCGACCUGAGAGGGUGAUAGGCCACAUUGGGACUGAGACACGGCCCAAACUCCUACGGGAGGCAGCAGUAGGGAAUCUUCGGCAAUGGACGAAAGUCUGACCGAGCAACGCCGCGGGAGUGAAGAAGGUUGUCGGAUCGUAAAACUCUGUUGGUAGAGAAGAACGUUGGUGAGAGUGGAAAGCUCAUCAAGUGACGGUAACUACCCAGAAAGGGACGGCUAACUACGUG
rnacentral:rRNA from 1 species